rnacentral:rRNA from 1 species
CGAAAGCCUGACGGAGCAAGACCGCGUGGGGGAGGAAUGCCUUAGGGUUGUAAACCCCUUUUAUCUGGGAAGAACAAAAUGACGGUACCAGAUGAAUAAGCCUCGGCUAACUCCGUGCCAGCAGCCGCGGUAAUACGGAGGAGGCAAGCGUUAUCCGGAAUGAUUGGGCGUAAAGCGUCCGUAGGCGGCUAGAUAAGUCUGUUGUUAAAGCGUGCAGCUCAACUGCAUACGGGCAAUGGAAACUAUUUAGCUAGGGUGUGGUAGGGGUAGAGGGAAUUCCCGGUGUAGCGGUGAAAUGCGUAGAUAUCGGGAAGAACACCAGUGGCGAAAGCGCUCUGCUGGGCCACAACUGACGCUGAUGGACGAAAGCUAGGGGAGCG